AUCCAACUGACGAGUCCCGAAUGGGACGAAACGCGCGUCCAGGAU
rnacentral:hammerhead_ribozyme from 1 species